rnacentral:tRNA from 1 species
UUUCCUGUGGUGCAAUUGGCAGCACAACUGAUUUUGGUUCAGUUGAUCGUGGUUCGAAUCCAUGCAGGAAAA